rnacentral:rRNA from 1 species
UGAAACACGGACCAAGGAGUCUAACAUGUACGCAAGUCAUGGGGUUGCAAAACCCACAGGCGCAAUGAAAGUGAAGGUCAAUUCGGUUGGCCGAGGUAGGAUCCCUGGUUCAACUGGGGCGCACUACCGUCCCAUCGCAUCUGCUCGUCAGAGCGGUGGAGAAAGAGCGUACACGUUGGGACCCGAAAGAUGGUGAACUAUGCCUGAGCAGGAUGAAGCCAGAGGAAACUCUGGUGGAGGUCCGUAGCGGUUCUGACGUGCAAAUCGAUCGUCAGACUUGGGUAUAGGGGCGAAAGACUAAUCGAACCAUCUAGUAGCUGGUUCCCUCCGAAGUUUCCCUCAGGAUAGCUGGCACUUAGAACGCAGUUUUACCCGGUAAAGCGAAUGAUUAGAGGCCUUGGGGACGAAACGACCUCAACCUAUUCUCAAACUUUAAAUGGGUAAGAAGUCUCGCUUGCCUGACCGAAGCUCAACAUUGAAUGCGAGUGCCAAGUGGGCCAUUUUUGGUAAGCA